rnacentral:rRNA from 1 species
AGCAGCCGCGGUAAUUCCAGCUCCAAUAGCGUAUAUUAAAGUUGUUGCAGUUAAAAAGCUCGUAGUUGAAUUUCGGGAUCAAUAUAUUGGUCAUGCUUAGGUAUGUACUGGUAUUAUUGAUUUCUCCCUUCUGAAGAACCAUGAUGUCAUUAAUUUGAUGUCGUGGGGAAUCAGGACUGUUACUUUGAAAAAAUUAGAGUGUUUAAAGCAGGCUUUCGCUUGAAUACAUUAGCAUGGAAUAAUGAAAUAGGACGUUUGAUUCUAUUUUGUUGGUUUCUAGGAUCGACGUAAUGAUUAAUAGGGAUAGUUGGGGGCAUUAGUAUUCAAUUGUCAGAGGUGAAAUUCUUGGAUUUAUUGAAGACUAACUACUGCGAAAGCAUUUGCCAAGGAUGUUUUCAUUAAUCAAGAACGAAAGUUAGGGGAUCGAAGACGAUCAGAUACCGUCGUAGUCUUAACCAUAAACUAUGCCGACUAGGGAUCGGAUGAUGUUAACUUUUUAAUGACUCAUUC